CAUGCCAAAUAGAUUGCUUGUUUUGUUUUCAAUGACAGUAUGUCAGGCAUGUGUAGAUAGCUCUUUCCAAUUUGUUUCUCUCUCUCGCGUAAAUAUUUUGUAUAAAUGAUCAUUCAUUUCCUGUGAUUUGUAUCAGUAAGUGAAUUGACACUGUGUAAAGUCACCGUAAAUUCUAAUCGUUUGCAGAAAUUUUAAUCCGUGUGUUUCGAAGCGAGCGAAUAUGGCCAAAAUAUCGAUAAUAUUUUUCGUAUUGGUUGCGGUUGCUUGUGUGUGCGCAGCACCAAACUGUGAUGAGAACGAAGUAUACAGUAAAUGUGCACCAGAUUGUGAAACGCAAUGCAACAGAUGGGUUGGUCCCCGUUGUCCACCAAAGCAAAGCAACGAAUGUUUCAGAAAAUGUAUUUGCAAAGCCGGUUUUCUACGUAGCGAAUAUAAUAAUCGUUGCUUCGAAGAAUCCUCACCGUAUUGUGGUGGCAAAUACAUACCCCAAUUGAACUGGAUCGGAUAGACUUGAUAUAAAAAUAAUGAAAUUGAAAUAGUUCUAGUUAAAAGUUUAAGUUUAUGUGCACAAAGUUAUGACAAUUUUGGUCAUAUUCACGACAACAUUUCAUUCGAUGUAGAAUUUAGAUUUAGAAGAACUACUGUACAAACUGUGAAAUUAAUAAAUAACUGCUAGUGAUUAAUACGAAAGAAUCUGUUUGAAAAGCUCCUGUUCUCUGUAUGCAAACCAACAAAAAUGCAAUAAUUACGGAACUUCUACUGUGAAUUAUACCAAAAAAUUCUUUAUUCUCUCAAAGUAAAGUCUUUGGUUUGACGUGUUUUUCUCAAUUCAAAUAAAAUGUUUUCCAGUUCGAAAAAUAUAAAAAAAAAUAUUGAAGUAUAAGAAAAGUCACAGUCAUUCGGUCAAAUGUUCAGCGAUAUAUUUGUGUCAAUAACAAUUCGAUUUUGCAACAUUUUGAUAGCAAAUAAAAAAAUUUAAGAAAAUCUCGGUAAACAAAAAUGUGCUCGCACCAUCGAACGGGCUAUUUACAAUAUUUCGAAUGUAGUUCGAGUCCUUCGAAACAAAAAAACAAAUUAAUAAGUUCAAACGAUUAACUCAGUACGAUAAGAGUUUUUAUAAAAUCACAUUUUCGAUUCCAGUAGCAAUGGCUUCUAAAUCAUUUUUUUUUUUAAAGAAAUAUUACUCGUAGUAUGAUGAAUUGUUAGCAAUAACGCAAUGGAAUUCAACAACAACACAAACAAAAAUACUUGCAGCUUUGAACGUAAUCUUCGACACUUUCAUAGGUCACUUAAUUUAAAAUGUCAACGAAGCUGAAUAAAAAACACACUGGCUGAAACUGAGCAACGAUUAUGCGUCAAGUAAAUUUACAGCCGUUUAACUCAUUCAAAUUUUUCAAAAUAACGGUUGCAAAGUAGCUAAGACAUUGAUAUAAACUGUUAUAUUAUUUGUUUCGACAUCAUAAUUUAUCAAAUACUACUAUCCACAGUGUAGGAACAAGGAACAAUUCAGGUUUCGUUAGAACCGAACUGUGUUUGCGCCAAAGGUUAUGCUAUUUGAAAUUAAAAAAACCAUUGAUUUCAAUUUAAAAGAACACGUAGAUACUACCCUCACUAAUUGGAAUUACGAUUUUCAUGUUGCCGUUAAACCCGAUCCAUGAUCUCAAAGCCGACAAAUCCAUCAUGGACGGCGCAGAUUGCCCGUGUGCCACUUUCUUUGGGUUGCUGCUGAUAGCAAUAAACAUGAGCGAGGCUGACCCCCAAAUUCCAACCAUCCACGCGGUAUUCAACUCAACUCACACAAAUCAAUACCAAUACGAAAAGACUGACGAAUUGUUUUCCAUACAGCUUCUGUUUGUAUAGAAAAUAAGAUAAUUAUCUGUGAUUUUUACACCUAUUUAUUAUAAAUUUAGAUUUUGUUCGGUUUUGUAGCCA